rnacentral:lncRNA from 1 species
AGUGGAUACACCGACCAUCCCCGAGCUCCACCCGAUCGAAGAGAUCGACUCCGAAGGAUGAUCGGAGUCUUGUUACUUUUUGCUUUGCUUUAUAUACUUGUAAUCGGGCUUUGGCUCAAUUUUGUAGACUUAUUGAAAUUAAGUAUUCUCAACUUCUUCCCUUCAUAUGUUAAAAUGCGCUCUGACUUAGAGUCGUAGAGUCGUAGGGUCGUAG